AACCAGACCGACACAGGCGUCCCUCGCUCGAGAGCGCGACGAGAGAGGGUUUCGGUUCGAGUCCGAGAGUCGGCGUAAAGGCGGCCAAAGCGGUGGGGGAACACCCGUACCCAUUCCGAACACGGAAGUUAAGCCCACCAGCGUAUCGUGAAGUACUGGAGUGAGCGAUCCUCUGGGAACCACGAGUCGCCGCCUGCC
rnacentral:rRNA from 1 species